UUUUUUUGUCCCAGAUUUUUUUUUUUUGUUACGAAAGCAUCUUCUUUGAUUUUUCUUAGUCUUUUAUUCAACAUUUUUUCCUUCUGAAUGCUAAAGGAAAGAGAAGAAGUGAGCAAUAUGGAUGGUCGACACGUGUUCCACAAGAGGUGACUAGAGGGAUGGUUUAGUUCUUGUUCACUUGAUUUGGUAUUGUCUUGUCAUUGUUUUAGAUUGAUAUUAUCACCGGAGGAAAGAGCAAGAA